AAUUUAUUUCAGUUAUCCAACGACAUUGAUCUUGAGCAGCGAAUUAACGGGAGGUAUAUUUUUUUUAUCAAACUCUGCAAUGGACACUAUUCUGUCGGCUAGACUUAUCCAACGACAUUGAUCUUGAGCAGCGAAUUAACGGGAGGUAUAUUUUUUUUUAUCAAACUCUGCAAUGGACACUAUUCUGUCGGCUAGACAAUAGCUUUUUGAAGUAGAGAUGAAAAUGUUUGAUUAACUUCGUGGCAAAGUAUUUCCGCGGAUUUAUCACCAAGCGCGGCUUGUGCUGAGCUGAUUCUCCCCAGCUGCAGAAGAAGUCCUGUAGUGUCUUCGGC